AAAAAGGACUCUCGGCAACGGAUAUCUCGGUUCUUGCAUCGAUGAAGAACGUAGCGAAAUGCGAUACUUGGUGUGAAUUGCAGAAUCCCGUGAACCAUCGAGUCUUUGAACGCAAGUUGCGCCCAAAGCCAUUCGGUCGAGGGCACGCCUGCCUGGGUGUCGUG
rnacentral:rRNA from 1 species